CUUGAGGCACAGCUCUCUAUUGCUUGGCUCUUCCAUUUUUGUUUCCUUCUCUUCUUCCAUGGUGUCUCCUGACCCACAGAAAGAGUGAUAUGACUAUCCUAUUGAGGAGAGAGCACUCAACACUGGCUUCUUUUCAGACCUUGACCUGUCAUGAGUCUGCAGUAACUACCAUUUGUUGCAAUAGGAGGCUUCUCUGACGAAUGUUGACAGUAGCACUAUCUUGCCACUAAAUCUUAAUGAUCUAGGAGAUGUUUGGCAACACAUUCAUUUAGUCAUAUACCAAACCAAAACAGAAUCAAGAGAUUUGUCAUUAUGGUCUGUGACCUCUCCAUCUUUGGACCUUGAACCACCUCCACAGUAGCCGAUAUGAAAUGCCCCUACAGAACAGGAAUCAGAGUCAACCAGAAUGCAGUUGACUGCCUCUAUGAUAGACAUACUACUGCUACAGUAGACACACCUUGGCUGUCCGGAAAUAAAUAGCCAGGAAUUUUGGACAAAUAAGAAAAUCAAGAGCAUAGAAUCAAGUACAAGAAGAAGGAACAAUGAAUAGAACUGGAGAAGUGAAAAGACCAGCCACAAACACUAUGAGAUGUUGCCUGCUCUCCGAGGGAUUUUGUGUACUUCCCAGUCACUCUGGAUGGGUGGAUUGCCAGAUGCUCCAGCAUGCUGCAGAGCUGCUCAUGAAUGCCAGGGAGGUGAGUGGAUGUUCCUCAGCUAUCGGGAGGGAAAUCAAAGUGUGCUGAACACUGGGGACAUGGGGUAACUGUGGCUUCAAAAUGGAAAACUGCAAACUAGUACAGAACAGAU
rnacentral:sRNA from 1 species